UACGUAGGGAGCAAGCGUUGUCCGGAAUCAUUGGGCGUAAAGCGCGCGUAGGCGGCCUCAUAAGUCCGUUGUGAAAGUCAAAGGCUCAACCUUUGAAAGCCGAUGGAUACUGUGAGACUAGAGUACGGAAGAGGCGAGUGGAAUUCCUGGUGUAGCGGUGGAAUGCGCAGAUAUCAGGAGGAACACCAAUAGCGAAGGCAGCUCGCUGGGACGUUACUGACACUGAGGCGCGAAAGCGUGGGGAGCGAACAGG
rnacentral:rRNA from 1 species